CCUGGCGGCACUAGCGCGGUGGUCCCACCUGACCCCAUGCCGAACUCAGAAGUGAAACGCCGUAGCGCCGAUGGUAGUGUGGGGGAUGGGCUUUUUGCGUUUCUGUCGUCCGGC
rnacentral:rRNA from 1 species